AACAAUGCAAAGCAGAGAUAAGAUUUUACCUUCCCAUCAUCAUCCUGAGGAUUAGUCCCUAGCGAAACAUGAGCUCCUCAAAUCAAUCUCGGUGUCAAGCACAACUCAACUAAAAUCGACUCGCUGUGUGGGAUGGGAAAUUCAUUAGUGACUUAUAUGUUGAUUGGGUUCGUACAAACCCAUUGACGUUGCGUGCCAUGAUCUUGAAGGUUAACAGUCUUCAACCCAAUAGGCUUGUCCCACCGCAAUUUAAAUGAGCAGCUGUGUGCAUUAAGGCUCGAUUCAAUGGGUGUGAAGGAGUGGUCAGAUGGGUCAGUUUGUAGUGACUGGUCGAAGGAAAGGGAUUUGGUUGCAGCGUGGUUCUAUUUGAGGAAUGAGGGCGAGAGGGAUGGGCCGCAACUGAGUUUUUGUGUUCUAUUUGGGUAAAGGCAAGGCUUUGGAGGUGGAAAGCAAGCUGGGAUGGUGGGUUGAUGGUGGUUCAGGUGGAGGAAGAUGAAGGCGAAGAAGUUCUUAUUUGUGGUGUUUGGAGAAGUGGAAAGUUGAAA
rnacentral:misc_RNA from 1 species